rnacentral:rRNA from 1 species
GCUGCGGGCUCCGGACUUUGACAUCCCCGAGUGCGAUCCCAGGUCAGGCGGGACUACCCGCUGAGUUUAAGCAUAUCAAUAAGCGGAGGAAAAGAAACUAACGAGGAUUCCCUUAGUAGCGGCGAGCGAAUCGGGAAGAGCCCAGCAUGAAAAUCGUCCGUCGUCGGCGGCCGAAUUGUAGUCUGGAGAAGCGUCCUCAGUGACGGACCGGACCCAAGUUCACUGGAAGGUGGCGCCGAGAGGGUGAGAGCCCC